rnacentral:rRNA from 1 species
UGCGUAGGCGGUCUCGAAAGUCUGAUGUGAAAGCCCCGGGCCCAACCCGGGAAUGGCAUCGGAAACUGCGGGGCUAGAGGGUUGGAGGGGGGACUGGAAUUCUCGGUGUAGCAGUGAAAUGCGUAGAGAUCGAGAGGAACACCAGUGGCGAAGGCGAGUCCCUGGACAACUCCUGACGCUGAGGCACGAAAGCUAGGGGAGCAAACAGGAUUAGAUACCCUGGUAGUCC